UCUUUCACCGGAGCUUGCUCCACCGAAAGAAAAAGAGUGGCGAACGGGUGAGUAACACGUGGGUAACCUGCCCAUCAGAAGGGGAUAACACUUGGAAACAGGUGCUAAUACCGUAUAACACUAUUUUCCGCAUGGAAGAAAGUUGAAAGGCGCUUUUGCGUCACUGAUGGAUGGACCCGCGGUGCAUUAGCUAGUUGGUGAGGUAACGGCUCACCAAGGCAACGAUGCAUAGCCGACCUGAGAGGGUGAUCGGCCACACUGGGACUGAGACACGGCCCAGACUCCUACGGGAGGCAGCAGUAGGGAAUCUUCGGCAAUGGACGAAAGUCUGACCGAGCAACGCCGCGUGAGUGAAGAAGGUUUUCGGAUCGUAAAACUCUGUUGUUAGAGAAGAACAAGGAUGAGAGUAAAAUGUUCAUCCCUUGACGGUAUCUAACCAGAAAGCCACGGCUAACUACGUGCCAGCAGCCGCGGUAAUACGUAGGUGGCAAGCGUUGUCCGGAUUUAUUGGGCGUAAAGCGAGCGCAGGCGGUUUCUUAAGUCUGAUGUGAAAGCCCCCGGCUCAACCGGGGAGGGUCAUUGGAAACUGGGAGACUUGAGUGCAGAAGAGGAGAGUGGAAUUCCAUGUGUAGCGGUGAAAUGCGUAGAUAUAUGGAGGAACACCAGUGGCGAAGGCGGCUCUCUGGUCUGUAACUGACGCUGAGGCUCGAAAGCGUGGGGAGCGAACAGGAUUAGAUACCCUGGUAGUCCACGCCGUAAACGAUGAGUGCUAAGUGUUGGAGGGUUUCCGCCCUUCAGUGCUGCAGCAAACGCAUUAAGCACUCCGCCUGGGGAGUACGACCGCAAGGUUGAAACUCAAAGGAAUUGACGGGGGCCC
rnacentral:rRNA from 1 species